rnacentral:rRNA from 1 species
UACGUAGGGUGCAAGCGUUGUCCGGAAUUAUUGGGCGUAAAGGGUGCGUAGGCGGUCUUGUGCGUCGGCGCUGAAAUCACACGGCUCAACCGUGUGGCGCGUGCCGAUACGACGAGACUUGAGGCUCUGAGAGGGUGGCGGAACUCCUGGUGUAGUGGUGGAAAUGCGUAGAGAUCAGGAAGAACACCCGUGGCGCAAGCGGCCACCUGGCAGAGUUCUGACGCUGAGGCACGAAAGCGUGGGGAGCGAACCGG